rnacentral:rRNA from 1 species
GAUGAACGCUGGCGGCGUGCCUAACACAUGCAAGUCGAACGAGGUAUUUUGAUUGAAGUUUUCGGAUGGAUUUCAAGAUACCGAGUGGCGGACGGGUGAGUAACGCGUGGGUAACCUGCCUCAUACAGGGGGAUAACGGUUAGAAAUGACUGCUAAUACCGCAUAAGCGCACAGUACCGCACGGUACGGUGUGAAAAACUCCGGUGGUAUGAGAUGGACCCGCGUCUGAUUAGCUAGUUGGUGAGGUAACGGCCCGACCAAGGCGACGAUCAGUAGCCGACCUGAGAGGGUGACCGGCACAUUGGGACUGAGACACGGCCCAGGACUCCUAC